GAGUGAGUUGAAAUCAUUCUAGUCCCAUUAGUAUUACAUGUUAUUAAUGAUGACAUCAUCUUCAUACCUGCAGUACCUGUAUGCAUUCUCUGUCACACCCAUGAGCUCCAUGGACGAGAAAGAGCUGACUCAGCAACCACCCACUGCCACCAACUGUCCCUAUAGGGAUAUAUAGUUGAUACACUCAACUAGUCAAAUCUUUGGUAAGGAAAACUAUUAUCCCAUAAUGUCUAGCUAUCGUUGAAGGACCAAUAUACACAUUUUCCUAACAAAACUUGCGUUAUGUAGCACUCUGAGAGUCCUAUCUCUAGAUAUCACCAUCUGUGUUGUAGUUCAAAUCCUCCAUGUUUGCAGAGGUCAAAGUUUAUUGUGUACCUACUCCCACACACUGUGCAGAGGGAGUCUCAAGAGGAGGCUGGGCCUAACUUCUUCUUUGAUCAGAGGGCUCUUGAUUCUGCUCAUCGCAAACAGAAGAGACAACAGGACGGAAGACCCCCUGCAAAGAGACGACCUCCUCCCCAGCCCAGGGGGCCGUGCUGGUUCUGUCUGGGGGGCAAGGAGGUGGAGAAACAUAUCGUGGUCUCCAUCGGAGAUCAUAUGUACCUGGCUUUAUCCAAGGGUGGGAUGGUACCAGGGCAUGUGCUGGUCCUACCCAUCGGUCACUAUGCAGCCUCCACUGACGCACCACCAGUGAGUUCAUGUGCUGUGUGUGCCACUGCUGUGUGUGUAUAGUCAUUGUUUGUAUUGUGGAGAGUAUGUUUCCAUGCUCUGUGUGUACUAUUUAGCAGUCUGUAGUGGUCAGCCUGUAAGCAGGCCACCCUCUAUAAUACAGCCAGGUUAAUGGGCCCCAAAGUCUCCAUAGCAUGUGUUUGGACCUGUGUUAGCAGACCACCUCUUUAGUACAGCCACUGUUGGUCUGCCCACUGUGUAAGCAGAGAUCACUAUACCAUAUAUCAUGCAUGUACACUGUAUGACCUGUGCUCUAUUACUGUAAGAGGUUUUGGAGGAGCUUGGACAGUUUAAGAGUGCUCUGAGGAAGUGCUUCAACAGCAAAGAUCAGUCGUGUGUCAUCUUCGAGAGAAACUACAAAUCACAGCAUCUUCAACUACAGGUUAUUCCAGUGACCAAGAUUCCAUCUGAUGCUCUGAGACAAGAAGCCUUCAUAGAUUAUGGGUGGAGUAUGGGGGUGUGGCUUGAGACUGUGCCCAGGGAAACACCACCCUCAGAGGUAACACACACACAUCAUAGCUGUACCAUGUUCUACGUACCAUUCUCUAAGCCUUUUAUAACCUCGAUUCCAGGCCGAUUAAAAUACGGCCUGGUACCUAUUGCAUGGUGAUAGUGCGCAUGCGCUAGUUUAUUCUCCAGAAUCCUUUCUCUCAUCUAUUUUCUAUCUAUGUACAUCAGCUUAGUAUUGCGUUGUUUCAGAAGGCUUUCACACUAGUCUAAAGUCAGAAGAGGCUCUCAUCUACCUCUAUGACGGUUGUAUGGUCAGGCCUUCUAGACCAACACAAUAGAUGACAUAAGCCACAGCUUCACAGAACUCAGUCAUGGAGAUAAAGUAUUACGGAACAUUAUUAUUCUUAGUAAAUGGUAUAAUUUACGUUCGUAGUACGAUUACCCAUAUUCUGAGUAAUUUGAAGGGCAUGCACACUAUCACCCAUGCAAUACCAGGCCAUAUUUUAAUGCGGCCUGUAAUCGAUGCUAAUAAGCGUAUAGAAUAGUGGCUAAGCCUUUUAGUUAUCAAUACUUCUCUUUACCAGAAUCUAUUAGUUUUGCUACACACACACCGUCCCUGAGGGCCUCCCACCCACCCCCCCACACACACACACACCCUUCUGAGGGCCUCCCACCCACCUACACACACACACACACCCUUCUGAGGGCCUCCCACCCACACACACACACACACACACACAGAUUGCGUACACUGGUGUCCCACACACACACACACACACACACACACACACACACACACACACACACACACACGCACACACACACACACACACAUAUACCCUCCUCCCACACAUACACACACAGAUUGCGUACACUGGUGUCCCAUAAAUUCUGGCAGAGUUUGAUGAUGGGGGAAAUGUGUUCACAAGACCAUUUUCUCACCAACUCACGCAGACAAACAACCAGAUCACUGAAUAUAGGUUAUAGUAUGUUUCUACUACUGUGAGCUCAUGAGGUAAACAGCACUCUCAAGUGAGUAGGUAAGAACAUAUUCGUGAGUCUCGUCACACCGACAAUGCACACCUCUAACCUUUCUAUUGCAUACUCAGCAAAUGUCUCUUCCACAAAUCUGUCAUCAUACCUAUCGAGUGAACACACAAACUGUUCUAGUUCCUGGAACAAUACGUACGGACGUUUCUCUCUCCAAUUUGGAAGGUAAUUAAAAACCAAUUAAUGACAUGUUGAAUGCUUUUAUUGGUUGCAAUAUCGGCUGCAGGGAGGUGUUGGCUGCUCCUCUCGUUCUGAAUCUGCCCAAUCAGAUCAACUGGAAGUCGUGUCUGGCAACAAAGGACGAGGAGACAAAAGCUGCUCUAGAAAUAAGGAAAAACUUUGAACCAUAUUAUUUUGAUUUCAUAUGCAACUGACAACGAUGAUAUUUUCACUUUUACAAUUGUUUUGUGUAUUAGCUAGUUGUCCAAUAAUAAUUAUGGUUGGCCAUAUAUAAUAUAGUUAUAGGA